GUCACGUGACAUCUUGGAACAACCAGUUCUUUGUGAUAAGAAUCUAGCAGUUAGGUAAAAGAGAAACGAAGCCCUGGAUCUUUUCCUGUUCCAGAUGUUCAUCUUUGACCGGCCAGUGAUGUGUGGCCUGAGGAUGGAGGUGUAGAGUGAUGUCGUUGAUGCCACACCCUGGCAACUACAGGAGACCAUCUCUAUCAGGUUAAGUGUUCAAACCGUCACACACACACACACACACAGUUCAUUUUGGGUGUUUCAGACAAUUUUUCUGCCCAGUACAAAUGAAUGCUAAAUAAUGUGUUGCGUCAUUUUAAAUAAGAAUAUAAUAUGUUUUUAAACACAUUCAUGUUGAUGCUAUCAUGAUUACGAAUAAUUGUGAAUAAUGAUGAGUGAGAAAGUUACAGAGGGUCAAAGGUCAUGCCC
rnacentral:lncRNA from 1 species